UGGUGUACUACAGAUCUGCUGCGUGAAAUCUCGCGUUACUUCCCUACCCGAUCAGAGAAGCUGUAUACUUUUGAUCGGAUGCUGUAAAUGUGUACACCAAAGCCUGAAGACAAUGUUCUGAUUUAUUUUCCAAAGG